rnacentral:tRNA from 1 species
GCCGAAGUGGCGAAAUUGGCAGACGCACUGGACUCAAAAUCCAGCGGGCGUUGAGCCCGUGCCGGUUCGACUCCGGCCUUCGGCA